UUGAACGCUGGCGGCAGGCCUAACACAUGCAAGUCGAACGGUAACAGGAAGCAGCUUGCUGCUUCGCUGACGAGUGGCGGACGGGUGAGUAAUGUCUGGGAAACUGCCUGAUGGAGGGGGAUAACUACUGGAAACGGUAGCUAAUACCGCAUAAUGUCGCAAGACCAAAGAGGGGGACCUUCGGGCCUCUUGCCAUCGGAUGUGCCCAGAUGGGAUUAGCUUGUUGGUGGGGUAACGGCUCACCAAGGCGACGAUCCCUAGCUGGUCUGAGAGGAUGACCAGCCACACUGGAACUGAGACACGGUCCAGACUCCUACGGGAGGCAGCAGUGGGGAAUAUUGCACAAUGGGCGCAAGCCUGAUGCAGCCAUGCCGCGUGUAUGAAGAAGGCCUUCGGGUUGUAAAGUACUUUCAGCGGGGAGGAAGGGAGUAAAGUUAAUACCUUUGCUCAUUGACGUUACCCGCAGAAGAAGCACCGGCUAACUCCGUGCCAGCAGCCGCGGUAAUACGGAGGGUGCAAGCGUUAAUCGGAAUUACUGGGCGUAAAGCGCACGCAGGCGGUUUGUUAAGUCAGAUGUGAAAUCCCCGGGCUCAACCUGGGAACUGCAUCUGAUACUGGCAAGCUUGAGUCUCGUAGAGGGGGGUAGAAUUCCAGGUGUAGCGGUGAAAUGCGUAGAGAUCUGGAGGAAUACCGGUGGCGAAGGCGGCCCCCUGGACGAAGACUGACGCUCAGGUGCGAAAGCGUGGGGAGCAAACAGGAUAGAUACCCUGGUAGUCCACGCCGUAAACGAUGUCGACUUGGAGGUUGUGCCCUUGAGGCGUGGCUUCCGGAGCUAACGCGUUAAGUCGACCGCCUGGGGAGUACGGCCGCAAGGUUAAAACUCAAAUGAAUUGACGGGGGCCCGCACAAGCGGUGGAGCAUGUGGUUUAAUUCGAUGCAACGCGAAGAACCUUACCUGGUCUUGACAUCCACAGAACUUUCCAGAGAUGGAUUGGUGCCUUCGGGAACUGUGAGACAGGUGCUGCAUGGCUGUCGUCAGCUCGUGUUGUGAAAUGUUGGGUUAAGUCCCGCAACGAGCGCAACCCUUAUCCUUUGUUGCCAGCGGUCCGGCCGGGAACUCAAAGGAGACUGCCAGUGAUAAACUGGAGGAAGGUGGGGAUGACGUCAAGUCAUCAUGGCCCUUACGACCAGGGCUACACACGUGCUACAAUGGCGCAUACAAAGAGAAGCGACCUCGCGAGAGCAAGCGGACCUCAUAAAGUGCGUCGUAGUCCGGAUUGGAGUCUGCAACUCGACUCCAUGAAGUCGGAAUCGCUAGUAAUCGUGGAUCAGAAUGCCACGGUGAAUACGUUCCCGGGCCUUGUACACACCGCCCGUCACACCAUGGGAGUGGGUUGCAAAAGAAGUAGGUAGCUUAACCUUCGGGAGGGCGCUUACCACUUUGUGAUUCAUGACUGGGGUG
rnacentral:rRNA from 1 species